GUUUUCAUAAUUCUUGCUGCGGAUUAUAAUAAAUAAAACGAAAAUCGUGCUAUAAAAUGUGUUUAGUAGUGUAAGGAUGAUUUUUUAAGAAAAAAAACCUACCGGCAACGUGCAAUUACGAAAUAUACAAAUCUGUGACAUGUGUGUGUGUGUGUUUAAUGCGUGCGCUUUUAUUUUGGCUGCGCUUCCAUGUGUGCGUCUAUAAAUAAAAGCAAUAACAACAACAAGAACAGCAGCAACAAAAGGCAAAAAGCCGAAGAAGCGAAAAAGCUAAAAAUGAAAUAUCAACAGCAUAAAAUGACGGGUUGAUUGACUUGCAGGAAUUUUGAGAAAGCGAAAUUCCCAAAAUAUUUAAGAAACUCGACAAUCUCCUCCAACGAUUAACCAAAAUCCACAGCUUCCGUUGUUUAUCAAGAAAAGCCAACGAAUAUCCCGAGAAAAGUAGUUAAAUAGCGCAUAAAUCUCAUACACUAUUAACCCGAGAAUUAAAUGGCGUGUGGCUUUUAUGGUCGCUGUCCCACGCAAAGUCACGAAAAUUGGACGGAGAUUUCUCAUUGUCGGAGAUUUCACAUUUUGCCCGGCGACCACGUAGCAAUUCUCAAGUUCAGCAGUGGAAAAUGAAAAUGCUUUGUCUAACCGAUUUUUAAAAUCAACGGAAAAAGUGUGUGAAACAACAGGCAUACCUGUAUACCUGUAAAAAAUAACAAUCGAAUCCUCGGUGUGGAUUUUUGUAAUAACUAAGAAAUAAUUCUGGUUAAUUUCAUUUACGGUAUUGGCUGCAAGUGGGUCAAAAGCAAAAGUGGGAAAAAAAAACCAACAUUGGCACGUUCCAAGAAACUGUAAUAUCAACAACUACAACAAUUGUAACUUAAUUUAUUAUACUGCUUAGGUUUUUUACUUUGUUUGCUCACGCUUGUGCAUAUAUAAUUAUGCAAUCAGUGCAGUUCGCCUGAAUGCACAACCACAACAACAAUAUCAACGCGCAAUUCAUUGAUAAAAAGCGUUGACAACAAGGGCUAUAAAUUAACAAGUGCCUUAAGAAGAGUUAAAUAUGAACAAAAACGUUUAAAGAGCCGGAAAGUCAAUAA